AACGAACGCUGGCGGCAUGCCUAACACAUGCAAGUCGAACGAGACCUUCGGGUCUAGUGGCGCACGGGUGCGUAACGCGUGGGAACCUGCCCUUAGGUUCGGAAUAACUCCCGAAAGGGGGGCCUAAACCGGGUAAAGUUCUCGGAACAAAGAUUUAUCGCCUUUGGAUGGGCCCGCGUUGGAUUAGCUAGUUGGUAGGGUAAAAGCCUACCAAGGCGACGAUCCAUAGCUGGUCUGAGAGGAUGAUCAGCCACACUGGGACUGAGACACGGCCCAGACUCCUACGGGAGGCAGCAGUGGGGAAUAUUGGACAAUGGGCGAAAGCCUGAUCCAGCAAUGCCGCGUGAGUGAUGAAGGCCUUAGGGUUGUAAAGCUCUUUUACCCGGGAUGAUAAUGACAGUACCGGGAGAAUAAGCUCCGGCUAACUCCGUG
rnacentral:rRNA from 1 species